rnacentral:lncRNA from 1 species
CCAGUGACAGGCCUCCUUCUAUCCUGUACCUGCCCUCACCUGUACUUUACAAAUUAAAUGGGGAGAAGGUUCUGGUGAAGUCACCUGAGUCCUGAGUACUUGACUAGGCAGCCAUCCUUAGGGCAGUGGAAUUAGCAUCAAAAUACAGAUAACUCCAGGGCAAACCACAACAAAUAAGUCAUUCCAAAAACAAAGUAACUGGGGCGUCCUUUGUACCCUCCGGACUCUGCAGAUGGGGUGGUUGUCACUUGGAGCCUCACCAGCUGUGGUCAGGCAGUGAUGACCUAGAAGCCCCAAAGGUCAGAAGGCAGUACGGGGGCAUGCUGGCCGCUGAGACAAGUUGGGUACGGGUCGUGGCCUUGCUUAGCCUUUUCCUGCUGACUAGAGCCAUCACAGGGCUACCCAGCUCAAGGGGUGGAGUGUCCCUUAAACCCCACCUUCAAGGCUCUCCUCUAUGAUUAACUCAUGGUUACAUGCUUGUGCUGAAUGCUAGCACAUGCCUCAUUUUAAUCUUCAUUUUCCUACAUGGAACAGAUUUAACCAGCUCUGUGUACAGUGAGAUGUCUUUUGGCCCGGAAGAGUUUGACUUCUUUCAGGUUGGACUUGAUACCGAGAUAACCUUUUGCUUUAAAGAACUGAAGGUAAGCAAAUCCCAGUGUCAGAGUCGAAGUCACUUUCCUGAGUGCUUUUAAAGCAGUGAUCUCCACCUUCUGCUCCUCUCCCUGCAGGGGAUCCUCACCUUCUCAGAAGUGAUGCACGCACCCAUUGCCAUCUACUUUGA